GGCUAUGGCCACGCCACCCUGGCCGUGCUUGUGCUUGUCAGAUCUCAGAAGCUAAGCAGGGUCGGGCCUGGUUGGUACUUGGAUGGGAGAGAAAAAUGAAGCAUAACUU
rnacentral:rRNA from 1 species